UACGUAGGGACCAAGCGUUGUUCGGAUUUACUGGGCGUAAAGGGCUCGUAGGUGGCCAACUAAGUCAGACGUGAAAUCCCUCGGCUUAACCGGGGAACUGCGUCUGAUACUGGAUGGCUUGAGUUCGGGAGAGGGAUGCGGAAUUCCAGGUGUAGCGGUGAAAUGCGUAGAUAUCUGGAGGAACACCGGUGGCGAAGGCGGCAUCCUGGACCGACACUGACGCUGAGGAGCGAAAGCCAGGGGAGCAAACGGG
rnacentral:rRNA from 1 species